GCAUUCCAGCAUGGCACAGGGAGGGCGCGGAGGACACCCUGAGGCUCAAGGAGUCUAUCCCUGACUGCCACAGGCCACAGGUCAGCGCACAGAGAAACGUAAAAACCAGAACGAAAACUCUGACCCAGUUAGCCUGAGACACGCCAGGCCCACUGCGCGGCCCCCAGGAGCUGAUGCGCCGGAGGGCUGGAGGAGGCCAGGCGUGACCAGUUUCGGUGGAAGCUUCCCAAGUAGCUGGGACUACAGACCCACGUGACUGUGUCCAGCUUUCAGAGUGAACCAGGAAUUGAACUUGAGACCUCCACGUGGCUUCGCCACGCAGCAGCAUCUACCAGCACGCAGGACCUGAGGGUGGGCCUCCUUAUGUGCAGUCAGAGUGGAGACUUGCUGCUCCGACCUGAGCUGCCAGAAGGCACUUAAUCCCUGGUGCCGAGGAGGAUCGAAGCGAACCAGCUGCAUCCCAGGAUCUGUGAGGUCGGCCUGCCCCAGGUGUCCAGCAGAGAAGAGGGGCCAGCCAGGCAGAAGGGCGAGGGUUGACUGUUCCCCCAGCCUUGCUGGAGCUGGAAUUCCACUUUCCAAAAUCCACCAGGAAAGGUGAACAGCCCUUGGGGAGGUCCUGGCAAAGCCCUGGCUCUCCAUGUUCAGCAAGGAUCUUCUGCCCCUCCGAUUUCUGUUAGGGAGACCGAGGCUCACGGAGGGAACAUGGCUUGCUCUCACCAAGACGUCUCUCACUGCAACAUGCACACAAAUCUCAUGGGGAUCUUGUUAAGAUACAUGUCGUCCGGGCCUAGCAGAUGGUGUAGUGGUUAUAUCGCUGGACUCCCACAUGACUGGCCAUGGUUCAAGUCCUGG